rnacentral:lncRNA from 1 species
UUUCGAUGUACCUCUCCAAUCUGAGCCCCUGCAAUAUAUCGGAUUCAAUGUCACGUGCAAAAUAUGAGCACCGUAAGAAAAUUCAGCAAACAUUAUAGUGUCAGCGUUAAUCGGGCCAUACAUGAUGCAUACCUUCAAGGCAAUGGCAUAAUAAUAAUAAUCGUGAAAGCAACAACUCUAUUUGGCCAACCUCCAACCAAGCCGUAGUAAACAACUAAAGAUAAGGCCAGCAGUAGGCCGGCCUUAUUGAGAUAAUCCAAUAUAAAGUUAAGGAUAUAUAUCGCCUGCUUCAAUCCCAGCACUUAGUAAAAGGAUAAUAUUUCCAGGGUCAUUUUGAUGAUCAAAAGAUUGUUGGAUUACAAUAAGCAUAGGAUUGAAUUGAUAAAUAGCUUUGCAAGUACUUCCUGAAGCAAUUCUGAUGACAUCACCUUAUACUAAAAGAACCAUCUUAAUUUCUAAAUUAUGUACUACAAGCAUUUUUAGGAUUAGAUAGUUGUAAUGUAUUACAAGCAUUUUUAGGACUGGGUAGUUUCAAACAUAGAUAUAGAGCCUGUUUUGAGUCUACAUUCAAUACCAAAUGUGCAAGUUUUGAAGUACAUGAUGACCAAAUGAUCAAGAACCAGAUCGUCCAGUGCCAAACCCAAGUUUAAACCAUCAGAAACAAAUGCAGAGAUAAAAAUGUUCAGAUUUCAGAAGAUGAGAUGACAAAGCUUAACCUGUUGGAAAUCAUGGCAGAUCGAAGACACCAAGGCCUCUGUGGACCAUGUGAUCGUCAAUGACAAUGACCCAUCAUUGAACUAAAGUCAAGAUGUUAAUCUUCAUGCCUUAAAUAAGUACAUUUAUUUAGUGAAGUUACAACCAGGGUUUUCAAGUUUCUUUGAGUUUGAAUUCCAAAACUGGUGCAUUAAAGUAUAAUUUUGCUCACCUGAACAUGCAUGUUCAGGACAUCAUAUCAAGCUCAAGAGAGUCAACUUAGGCAUGCCACUCCUCAUGAUCUCAUAACUUUCCUGUAAAGAAACAAAUAUAAUAAUUAAAUUUUACAUGAAGCACAGGAAAAAAAAACUAUAAUCGCUUGGCUGAAAUGGAACUGAUCCUCUUUGGCCAUCAUCAAAGCAUAGAUAAACCUCAAAUGAAUCUGAUGGCAAACAAGAUGAACCAACCAAAAAAAUUCUGAACAAUAUAUGUUGUCCCUAGAGAGCAAUAGCCAAUAGAUAGUCAGGAGAUAAAAAUUGACAUCUCUAUUGGACUUUUCACACAGUAAACCCUAAAAAACAAAUGAUCAGCUCUAGCUGGUGUGCUCUUUGCUUCAGAGGUACACAUAGCUUUUGUUGACGAUCACUAAAGCUUAUUUGACAGCACAUAUAAGUUAAUAGGAAAAGCAAACUAUAAAUCGUAACCAUCAAACUUAAUAAAUCUAUCGCUAGAUGAUCUUGGCUAGAUUAUUCAGUUUGACAUGCUAUUCUUCAAGAACAUCGAGCAACUACCGGUGUCGAUAAAAUAUCAUAUAUCUAGUUUUUGUGAGAGGCAAGUGUUGAAAUUGACCUGCUAAGUGAUCAUGGAGGAGACAACCAUGUAGAAUACUGGCACACUCCUAAGUAGUUGGCAGGGCAGGCACCUCACUGGCGGAUAGAACCGCGUCCUGUUUCCAUGCACCAUCUGACCCAUCAAUACACUGAGUAGAAAAAGGUUAAAAAAUAAUUAAAAAAGACAAAUCUAGAUAGGAAAUCAUGUUCCUUUCACAGGGUCCAGAUGAAAUGAAAGGUAUGAACUUACAAUUUGGCAGAAGAUGGAGUGAUUAAAAGCAUAAAUACAAUCUGAAAAAAGAUGAAGUGAUUAACAAACACACACAAAAAAAUUUUUGCAAUGGACGAAGAGAAGAGACAUGUCAUGAUCUGAUUGUAUCUCGAUGUAGUAAGAAAAGAUCAGAGCAGCCAGGCAGUAGGAAGAAUUGUUAGAAUUAAUUAACCAUAUGAGCUUGCAUAGACCACAUAUAAUUGAAAUAUGGAUGUAUGAGAAAACAUCAAACAACAAUCCCCAUAUACAUGUACAGGAUUGACCUACAUGACCUUAAGUCACCUUGCUAAUUCAAGUAAAUAAUUAAGAGUAAAGUUAAUGUCAGUGCACAUCUAACCAGAUUGCUAUAUAAAUGCAAUGCCAUACAGCUAUGAGAAUUUCAUGAUUGAUGCAUCACUACUAUUGUUUACUUUAUAACUCUGUAAAUAGAGCACAAAUGUUGAGCGCAAUGCACUGUUUCGGUGUAUAUUGCCAUUAUCAGAUCCUUACUAUCCUCCCAACAAAUGAAAAUAUUGUACCCAAC